rnacentral:rRNA from 1 species
AGUGGGGAAUAUUGGGACAAUGGGGGGAACCCUGAUCCAGCCAUGCCGCGGUGUGUGAAGAAGGCCUUUUGGUUGUAAAGCACUUUAAGUGGGGAGGAGGCUUACCUGGUUAAUACCUGGGCUAAGUGGACGUUACCCACAGAAUAAGCACCGGCUAACUCUGUGCCAGCAGCCGCGGUAAUACAGAGGGUGCGAGCGUUAAUCGGAUUUACUGGGCGUAAAGCGCGCGUAGGUGGUUAAUUAAGUCAAAUGUGAAAUCCCCGAGCUUAACUUGGGAAUUGCAUUCGAUACUGGUUAGCUAGAGUAUGGGAGAGGAUGGUAGAAUUCCAGGUGUAGCGGUGAAAUGCGUAGAGAUCUGGAGGAAUACCGAUGGCGAAGGCAGCCAUCUGGCCUAAUACUGACACUGAGGUGCGAAAGCAUGGGGAGCAAACAGGAUUAGAUACCCUGGUAGUCCAUGCCGUAAACGAUGUCUACUAGCCGUUGGGGGAUUUGAUCCUUUAGUGGCGCAGCUAACGCGAUAAGUAGACCG